UCAUAUUUUUACUUUUAUACAGGUUUUUUGACUUUUCAUCUUCUUCCUUCUCCUUCUUCUUCUUCCUCCUUCCUCCUCCAUUUAUAAUUUCUGUCUUUUCUUUUUUUCCCUUCAAAUGACUAUUGCUCCGCUGCUACACCCGUUGUAUCCAUUGUUCCUUUGUCAAUCCUGCCGCCGUCGUUAUUCCGCCGCCACUCCUGCCGCCGCUGUUGUUCCGUCUUUUUUGUAGAUCUAAAAUUAUCGCUCUGGAUCUCAAUACGGAACAAUAUAUGUUCUCCCAUAAAUAUCAAUAUUCAGAUCUGACUUUCGGGUAUGUCGAUCCAAAACUUGAAGGGCAUGAACAAAAUAGCUCUAGAGCUUUGGUUCGUGCUUUUUUCUUACGGAGUUCGAGGUCGGAGAUAUAAGAAUCAGAGAUCUUAAGCCAUCGUUCAAUUCUCCAGAAAAUGAUAGAACGAUGGCAUCGAACUGUUCUUAAAGAACUUGAGCCUCAUUUUCUUGAUGGCCCAUUAUUUACCCGUUGAAAAUCUCGCGUUGAACGGCUUUUUGAUCCUCAUUAUUACAAAUGGUAUCAUGGCAGUCAGACUUUCAUGGGUUGUACUAGUGGACAAGACAGAGUUCAGAACCAAAUAUUUCGAUUAUGGGCAAACUACUCAAGCGGACCAGAAGUAUUUUUAAUGAUUUAUUUGCUGCUACAUAUCAUUUGCACAUUUGAACUUUGUAAAUGGGUUACCCAUAAACAAAUAUGCAGCUUUUAUUUUUUUUUAAUUAGUUUUUUAUGUACUUGUAUAACAAGUGAUGACUACUACGUAACUUCUACUUUUAAAAUAGUCAGCAAUGGUUGAUAUUA